rnacentral:rRNA from 1 species
CAGCAGCCGCGGUAAUACCGGCGGCUCGAGUGGUGGCCACUAUUACUGGGCUUAAAGCGUCCGUAGCUGGGUUGUUAAGUCUCUGGGGAAAUCUUCCGGCUUAACCGGAAGGCGUCUCAGGGAUACUGGCAAUCUAGGGAUCGGAAGAGGUGAGGGGUACUCCAGGGGUAGGAGUGAAAUCCUGUAAUCCUUGGGGGACCACCUGUGGCGAAGGCGCCUCACCAGGACGACUCCGACAGUGAGGGACGAAAGCUGGGGGAGCAAACCGGAUUAGAUACCCGGGUAGUCCCAGCUGUAAACGAUGCGCGUUAGGUGUAUCGGUGACCACGAGUUACCGAGGUGCCGAAGGGAAACCGUGAAACGCGCCGCCUGGGAAGUACGGUCGCAAGGCUGAAACUUAAAGGAAUUGGCGGGGGAGCACUACAACGGGUGGAGCCUGCGGUUUAAUCGGACUCAACGCCGGGAAGCUCACCGGAUAAGACAGCUGGAUGAUAGCCGGGCUGAAGACUCUGCUUGACUAGCUGAGAGGAGGUGCAUGGCC